UACGGAGGGGGCUAGCGUUGUUCGGAAUUACUGGGCGUAAAGCGCACGUAGGCGGCUUUGCAAGUCAGAGGUGAAAGCCCGGGGCUUAACCCUGGAAUUGCCUUUAAGACUGCAUCGCUAGAAUCGUGGAGAGGUGAGUGGAGUUCCGAGUGUAGAGGUGAAAUUCGUAGAUAUUCGGAAGAACACCAGUGGCGAAGGCGACUCACUGGACACGUAUUGACGCUGAGGUGCGAAAGCGUGGGGAGCAAACAGG
rnacentral:rRNA from 1 species